AAAAAUAAAUAUAAUAUUGCAUCCCAAAUGGGUGAAAAAUACGAAAUCGGCGUAAUAUUACUGUAAAUUUCUGUGAUAUCACUCUUAAAACAUGCGGCAAAUCGCAAGCCCAUCCAACUGUCAUUCCAGUUUUUCUUUCAAUCUGCGAGCAUCGAAAAACAAAUAUCGUGCUCAAUAAUUUAGUUGGUGAAGUUUAAAUGCUGUGUUUGCGCCUUUCUGCCGAAUAGGAAACAAAUCAUUUCACAGAAGUUACUGCUGAGUGUGAACCGCAGAAAACAAAUAGGAUGCUCCUGAGCGGAGAAAAAAUGAUCAACGAUAGUUUUCGAUAAAUUGGAGACAAAUGUACCCACAGCAAACCGGCAAACUGCAGAUACAUCAUUCUCCGGCAUUUGAAAGAGUCGACAAGUGCAGCAAUUCGUGCGGAUGUGGAGUAGCGCUAGGGAAGCAAAAGGAUUUUCUGAAUUCGAGCCAUUCAACAAAUACCAUCAAGAGUGGCAUAAAUCCGCCAGACACCAUCAGUUUCGAACGAACCGAAAAUUCCACAAAGGAGGGAUCAAUUUUGGAGUACCAGCAUCGCAUCGCAUCGGGUUAUGUUUUAUGUUUAUUACAGGUAAAUUCAUCUACGGAGCAAACCGCUGGUAAAGUGUCCUGUGCCUGUAGAGAGCCCACCGAAGAGCUUAAACGAGAUUUACGGAAGUAGUAACGGAAUUCCAAUCAGACUAAUCAACUUGUAUGACGGACUUGUGGUAUUUUAUUUGCAAAAGGCAAACAUUUGUUAUAGCAUAUCCUCAGUAAUUAGAUUAAGAGAUAUUCGAUUCGAUUGGUGAUCUCUUGAAUCUAUUAUCAAUUCGGUGCAAAACCGAAUUAUAGCCGCUAACAAAGUUGGAUUUUUCUCACAAUACAUACGUUAAACCUAACUUCGGAAGUGGUGCGCUGUUUUCAUUUGGUUAUGUGCUAUACAGCGCACUACUUCCGAAAUUAGGUUUAACGUAUGGAUUGUGAGAAAAAUCCAAUUUCGAUAGCGGCUAUAAUUCGGUUUUCUACUGAAUUUAUAAUACUACACCUAUAAAGCUAAUAAA